rnacentral:rRNA from 1 species
AGCGACAGAAGAAGCACCGGCUAACUCCGUGCCAGCAGCGCGGUAAUACGGAGGGUGCGAGCGUUAAUCGGAAUUACUGGGCGUAAAGCGCAUGCAGGUGGUUUGUUAAGUCAGAUGUGAAAGCCCGGGGCUCAACCUCGGAAUAGCAUUUGAAACUGGCAGACUAGAGUACUGUAGAGGGGGUAGAAUUUCAGGUGUAGCGGUGAAAAUGCGUAGAGAUCUGAAGGAAUACCGGUGGCGAAGGCGGCCCCCUGGACAGAUACUGACACUCAGAUGCGAAAGCGUGGGGAGCAAACAGGAUUAGAUACCCUGGUAG